rnacentral:lncRNA from 1 species
GAAAAAGAAAGAAAUGAGACAAGCUUGGUUGGGUGUGUCUAUUUGAAGUCUAGUGGUCACUCUCAGACAGAUACACAUAGAUGUUCAGCCUCUUCUUCUUACAGGGUUUUCAGACUGCAAAUAUCUUCUUUCUAAGUAUUGGAAUCCUUGAUGUUGAAAAAAACAAAACCAGCUUUGACAAAUUUUAGGUUGCUGUUUGUCUCCUCUAUAUCUAAUUUCAAGUUUCCUUGAUUCAAAACUGAAAGCUACAACUCUUUC